rnacentral:rRNA from 1 species
GGGUUGUGAGGUUAAGCGACUAAGCGUACACGGUGGAUGCCCUGGCAGUCAGAGGCGAUGAAGGACGUGCUAAUCUGCGAAAAGCGUCGGUAAGGUGAUAUGAACCGUUAUAGCCGGCGAUGUCCGAAUGGGGAAACCCAGUGCAAUUCGUUGCACUAUCGUUAACUGAAUACAUAGGUUAACGAGGCGAACCGGGGGAACUGAAACAUCUAAGUACCCCGAGGAAAAGAAAUCAACCGAGAUUCCCCCAGUAGCGGCGAGCGAACGGGGAGCAGCCCAGAGUCUGAAUCAGCUUGUGUGUUAGUGGAACGGUCUGGAAAGUCCGACGGUACAGGGUGAUAGUCCCGUACACCAAAAUGCACAGGCUGUGAACUCGAAGAGUAGGGCGGGACACGUGGUAUCCUGUCUGAAUAUGGGGGGACCAUCCUCCAAGGCUAAAUACUCCUGACUGACCGAUAGUGAACCAGUACCGUGAGGGAAAGGCGAAAAGAACCCCGGCGAGGGGAGUGAAAAAGAACCUGAAACCGUGUACGUACAAGCAGUGGGAGCACCUUCGGGUGUGACUGCGUACCUUUUGUAUAAUGGGUCAGCGACUUAUAUUCUGUAGCAAGGUUAACCGUAUAGGGGAGCCGCAGGGAAACCGAGUCUUAACUGGGCGUUAAGUUGCAGGGUAUAGACCCGAAACCCGGUGAUCUAGCCAUGGGCAGGUUGAAGGUUGGGUAACACUAACUGGAGGACCGAACCGACUAAUGUUGAAAAAUUAGCGGAUGACUUGUGGCUGGGGGUGAAAGGCCAAUCAAACCGGGAGAUAGCUGGUUCUCCCCGAAAGCUAUUUAGGUAGCGCCUCGUGAAUUCAUCUUCGGGGGUAGAGCACUGUUUCGGCUAGGGGGUCAUCCCGACUUACCAACCCGAUGCAAACUACGAAUACCGAAGAAUGUUAUCACGGGAGACACACGGCGGGUGCUAACGUCCGUCGUGAAGAGGGAAACAACCCAGACCGCCAGCUAAGGUCCCAAAGUCAUGGUUAAGUGGGAAACGAUGUGGGAAGGCACAGACAGCCAGGAUGUUGGCUUAGAAGCAGCCAUCAUUUAAAGAAAGCGUAAUAGCUCACUGGUCGAGUCGGCCUGCGCGGAAGAUGUAACGGGGCUAAACCAUGCACCGAAGCUGCGGCAGCGACACUAUGUGUUGUUGGGUAGGGGAGCGUUCUGUAAGCCUGCGAAGGUGUGCUGUGAGGCAUGCUGGAGGUAUCAGAAGUGCGAAUGCUGACAUAAGUAACGAUAAAGCGGGUGAAAAGCCCGCUCGCCGGAAGACCAAGGGUUCCUGUCCAACGUUAAUCGGGGCAGGGUGAGUCGACCCCUAAGGCGAGGCCGAAAGGCGUAGUCGAUGGGAAACAGGUUAAUAUUCCUGUACUUGGUGUUACUGCGAAGGGGGGACGGAGAAGGCUAUGUUAGCCGGGCGACGGUUGUCCCGGUUUAAGCAUGUAGGCUGGUUGUCCAGGCAAAUCCGGAUAAUCAAGGCUGAGGUGUGAUGACGAGGCACUACGGUGCUGAAGUAACAAAUGCCCUGCUUCCAGGAAAAGCCUCUAAGCAUCAGGUAACAUUAAAUCGUACCCCAAACCGACACAGGUGGUCAGGUAGAGAAUACCAAGGCGCUUGAGAGAACUCGGGUGAAGGAACUAGGCAAAAUGGUGCCGUAACUUCGGGAGAAGGCACGCUGGUGUGUAGGUGAAGUCCCUGCGGAUGGAGCUGAGACCAGUCGAAGAUACCAGCUGGCUGCAACUGUUUAUUAAAAACACAGCACUGUGCAAACACGAAAGUGGACGUAUACGGUGUGACGCCUGCCCGGUGCCGGAAGGUUAAUUGAUGGGGUUAUCCGUAAGGAGAAGCUCUUGAUCGAAGCCCCGGUAAACGGCGGCCGUAACUAUAACGGUCCUAAGGUAGCGAAAUUCCUUGUCGGGUAAGUUCCGACCUGCACGAAUGGCGUAAUGAUGGCCAGGCUGUCUCCACCCGAGACUCAGUGAAAUUGAACUCGCUGUGAAGAUGCAGUGUACCCGCGGCAAGACGGAAAGACCCCGUGAACCUUUACUAUAGCUUGACACUGAACAUUGAGCCUUGAUGUGUAGGAUAGGUGGGAGGCUUUGAAGCGUGGACGCCAGUCUGCGUGGAGCCAACCUUGAAAUACCACCCUUUAAUGUUUGAUGUUCUAACGUUGGCCCCUUACCGGGGUUGCGGACAGUGUCUGGUGGGUAGUUUGACUGGGGCGGUCUCCUCCCAAAGCGUAACGGAGGAGCACGAAGGUUAGCUAAUCCUGGUCGGACAUCAGGAGGUUAGUGCAAUGGCAUAAGCUAGCUUGACUGCGAGCGUGACGGCGCGAGCAGGUGCGAAAGCAGGUCAUAGUGAUCCGGUGGUUCUGAAUGGAAGGGCCAUCGCUCAACGGAUAAAAGGUACUCCGGGGAUAACAGGCUGAUACCGCCCAAGAGUUCAUAUCGACGGCGGUGUUUGGCACCUCGAUGUCGGCUCAUCACAUCCUGGGGCUGAAGUAGGUCCCAAGGGUAUGGCUGUUCGCCAUUUAAAGUGGUACGCGAGCUGGGUUUAGAACGUCGUGAGACAGUUCGGUCCCUAUCUGCCGUGGGCGCUGGAGAAUUGAGGGGGGCUGCUCCUAGUACGAGAGGACCGGAGUGGACGCAUCACUGGUGUUCGGGUUGUCAUGCCAAUGGCACUGCCCGGUAGCUAAAUGCGGAAGAGAUAAGUGCUGAAAGCAUCUAAGCACGAAACUUGCCCCGAGAUGAGUUCUCCCUGAGACUUUAAGUCUCCUGAAGGAACGUUAAAGACGAUGACGUUGAUAGGCCGGGUGUGUAAGCGCAGCGAUGCGUUGAGCUAACCGGUACUAAUGAACCGUGAGGCUUAACCUUACAACGCCGA